rnacentral:lncRNA from 1 species
GCUUAACUACGCUCCAGGAGCUGUAGGCUCCAGCCGCGCCUCGAGUCCCCAACCUUUGGCCCCGGAAGCCAAAAAGAGGAGCGGACGGUGAAGGAGUCAGGGAUAAUGUGAGUUGAUGCUGGCUGAGAUCUGCUCCGAUGAGGGUUUGAAAGAGAGAGCUCCGGGUGUCAAAGUCAGUGGAUGGCAAAACAUGCCUGGAGGGAGCA